GGGGGCGUAGCUCAGCUGGGAGAGCGGCGGCUUUGCAAGCCGUAGGUCGCAGGUUCGAUCCCUGUCGCCUCCAC
rnacentral:tRNA from 1 species